CCAGCUUGUGUCGUGAGAUGUUGGGUUAGUCCCGCACGAGCGCACCCCUUUCGUAUGUUGCCAUCAUUAAGUUGGGCACUCAUGCGAUACUGCCUGCGAUGAGCAGGAGGAAGGUGGGGAUGACGUCAAGUCAUCAUGCCCCUUAUACGCUGGGCUACACACGUGCUACAAUGGGUAGUACAGAGAGUCGCAAACCUGCGAGGGGGAGCUAAUCUCAGAAAACUAUUCUCAGUUCGGAUUGUACUCUGCAACUCGAGUACAUGAAGUUGGAAUCGCUAGUAAUCGCAAAUCAGCUAUGUUGCGGUGAAUACGUUCUCGGGUCUUGCACUCACCGCCCGU
rnacentral:rRNA from 1 species